rnacentral:sRNA from 1 species
CGUUUUUCUGAGCUUAUUUUUGGUUGUCAUUUUAACAACAUUUAUAUUGUAACAGAAUGCUACAUUGUUUUUGACAUCUAGGUAACCCUGAGAUCACAGAUGCAGGCAUUGGAUACCUCUUUUCUUUUAGGAAACUAAACUGCUUAGAUAUCUCUGGGACAGGGCUCAAGGUAAGACUUUUGGUUCCUUCUCUCAUUUUUCUAGACUCAACAAUUUGAUAUUUUGCCUGUGUUAAUUGGUAUUUAGAAAGGGCUGGUAUUUAUGAUGGUCUUUAUUUACUACUGAAAACAAGUAAGAAUUAACCAAAUGUAUUUGCAUUUCUGAUCUGUGUCUGCCUCACUAGGACAUCAAAACUGUCAAGCACAAGCUCCAGACCCACAUAGGCCUUGUUCAUUCCAAAGUGCCUUUGAAGGAAUUUGAUCAUAGUAACUGCAAGACAGAGGGCUGGGCUGACCAGAUUGUUCUGCAGUGGGAGCGUGUGACUGCGGAAGCUGUGAAGCCACGGGAAACCUCAGAGCCUAGAGCGGCAGCUCAGCGCUUCUAUGGGAAGCGGUCUGGAGCAGAAGCCCCACUGAAGUGUCCCCUGGCAGACACCCACAUGAACUGUUCCG